AUUAAGGUAGCAAAGCCCGGCCGUGCAAAGGGCUUAAAACCCCAACACAGAUGUUAAAAUCAUCUCCUUAAUA
rnacentral:tRNA from 1 species